rnacentral:rRNA from 1 species
GACGAACGCUGGCGGCGUGCCUAAUACAUGCAAGUCGAACGCACUCUCGUUUAGAUUGAAGGAGUUUGCUCCUGAUUGAUAAACAUUUGAGUGAGUGGCGGACGGGUGAGUAACACGUGGGUAACCUGCCCUAAAGUGGGGGAUAACAAUUGGAAACAGAUGCUAAUACCGCAUAAAACCUAACACCGCAUGGUGUAGGGUUGAAAGAUGGUUUCGGCUAUCACUUUAGGAUGGACCCGCGGUGCAUUAGUUAGUUGGUGAGGUAAAGGCUCACCAAGACCGUGAUGCAUAGCCGACCUGAGAGGGUCAUCGGCCACACUGGGACUGAGACACGGCCCAGACUCCUACGGGAGGCAGCAGUAGGGAAUCUUCCACAAUGGACGAAAGUCUGAUGGAGCAACGCCGCGUGAGUGAAGAAGGUUUUCGGAUCGUAAAACUCUGUUGUUGGCGAAGAAUGUAUCUUAUAGUAACUGAUCAGGUAGUGACGGUAUCCAACCAGAAAGCCACGGCUAACUACGUG